rnacentral:rRNA from 1 species
AGUGAACGCUGGCGGUAGGCCUAACACAUGCAAGUCGAACGGCAGCACAGUAAGAGCUUGCUCUUACGGGUGGCGAGUGGCGGACGGGUGAGGAAUACAUCGGAAUCUACUUUUUCGUGGGGGAUAACGUAGGGAAACUUACGCUAAUACCGCAUACGACCUACGGGUGAAAGCAGGGGAUCUUCGGACCUUGCGCGAUUGAAUGAGCCGAUGUCGGAUUAGCUAGUUGGCGGGGUAAAGGCCCACCAAGGCGACGAUCCGUAGCUGGUCUGAGGGGAUGAUCAGCCACACUGGAACUGAGACACGGUCCAGACUCCUACGGGAGGCAGCAGUGGGGAAUAUUGGACAAUGGGCGCAAGCCUGAUCCAGCCAUACCGCGUGGGUGACGAAGGCCUUCGGGUUGUAAAGCCCUUUUGUUGGGAAAGAAAAGCAGCAGGUUAAUACCCCGCUGUUCUGACGGUACCCAAAGAAUAAGCACCGGCUAACUUCGUG